rnacentral:rRNA from 1 species
GUGUCAGCAGCCGCGGUAAUACGUAGGUGGCAAGCGUUGUCCGGAAUUAUUGGGCGUAAAGCGCGCGCAGGCGGUUUCUUAAGUCUGAUGUGAAAGCCCACGGCUCAACCGCGGAGGGUCAUUGGAAACUGGGAGACUUGAGUGCAGAAGAGGAAAGUGGAAUUCCACGUGUAGCGGUGAAAUGCGUCGAGAUUUGGAGGAACACCCGUGGCGAAGGCGGCUUUCUGGUCUGCAGCUGACGCUGAGGCGCGAAAGCAUGGGGAGCAAACAGGAUUA